rnacentral:lncRNA from 1 species
UGUCUGUGUAGAGCAAUGAUUUUCACAGUGAGAGCCUCAGACAGCCACAGGGCAUCUGGAAACUCCAUUUCUAGGUCCACCUUGGACUCACCAGAUGAGAAAAUUUGGGGCCUCAGUGUCUCAGGCUCACUGUCCCGGAAUGCAGAGGGGAGGGGUUGGCACAAGGGAGAUGAGUCCUUGCCUUGCCUGUGCUUGCUGCUGUCUAGCUCUGAGUGACCAUUCUUCACGUUUCUCAGCUGCCUGGUUGACGGUAACUGUAGUCUUUACAUCAAGGAAAGUGCUGUUUGGAACAUAUGGAGACCACUACAAAAAACCCUCAGCCAAUCAAAGUGCAGGUUUGUGGACUCCAGUCCCUGUGGAUACAUCUACAAAAUCCUCCCACGUGUAAGGCUGAGAGAGCAUUGUGAAGAGGGGGCAGAAAGAUUGCAAGAGCCAGGGGAUCAGGGACUUUGAUCUAAGAUUGUGUCUCCUAGUAAUAUCAGAAGCUGUACUCAUGAAGUCUCACCACUAAGACUGUCCAAGUGUGAGCUGAACAAGGAUGGCACCAGUGGACAUGACAGAUUGGAUAGGGGAAAGCCCAUGAAGUCUCAGCCCCACAUAAAGAGCUCUAGGCACCUGAAUAAAGCAGAGAGUGGGAUGGGGUGGACCUCCCCAGGGAAGAGCAUACCAGAUGGUUGCCAAGUGCCACACUGCCAGCCCUGUAAACACACAUACAAUUAAUCAGACUAGCUAAACAGGUUGCAUUCCUGAAUACGUUCUAUCUAUCUAUCUAUCUAUCUAUCUAUCUAUCUAUCUAUCUAUCUAUCUAUCUAUCUAUCAA